rnacentral:rRNA from 1 species
UACAGAGGGGGGCAAGCGUUGUUCGGAAUUACUGGGCGUAAAGCGCGCGUAGGUGGCCAUUUAAGUCCGCUGUGAAAGUCAAAGGCUCAACCUUUGAAAGCCGGUGGAUACUGGAUGGCUAGAGUACGGAAGAGGCGAGUGGAAUUCCUGGUGUAGCGGUGGAAUGCGCAGAUAUCAGGAGGAACACCAAUAGCGAAGGCAGCUCGCUGGGACGUUACUGACACUGAGGCGCGAAAGCGUGGGGAGCGAACAGG